rnacentral:rRNA from 1 species
UACGUAGGGGGCGAGCGUUGCCCGGAUUCACUGGGCGUAAAGCGGGUGUAGGCGGUCUCUUAAGUCGGAUGUGAAAUCCUGCGGCCUAACCGCGGAACUGCAUCCGAUACUGGGAGACUUGAGGACGGUAGAGGUCGGUGGAAUUCCCGGUGUACCGGUGAAAUGGACAGAUAUCGGGAGGAACACCAGUGGCGAAGGCGGCCGACUGGGCCGAUCCUGACGCUGAGACCCGAAAGCCAGGGUAGACGAACCGG